UUAAUUGAAACCAAAGAGAGGUAUAUCACUGUUAAUGAUAAGAAUGAGUGCACACUCCGAUUAAA
rnacentral:tRNA from 1 species